AAAAUAACCUGUUAGGUAAACAGUUGUGUAAACGUAUAUAUUCAUAUAUAUCUAAUUCACUUGUUAUACGUUUAGGGCAUUUCAAGUUUGACAGACGACAGGAAUACACAGUUUUGGAUAACAAGUUUUGUUUCAACACCAUACGUCAAUUCAUCGUGUUGAUUGAUCAUCGUAAAGGCACUAAAUUCUCCUUCCUUCCCCUCGAUUGUUUAAACAAGAAAGAGGAAAUGAGAGGAUAAUACAUAAGCGACAGAUAUGGCGGGAAUCUGUUUGCUUGAACUUCUAGCAGCGUGUAUUCUCUUUUCAACAGUAUUAUCCUGCCCCAAUAACUGUAAUGGUCGCGGGACCUGUGACAGAUCGGUGGUUCCAAACCAGUGCCGCUGUCAACCAAAUUAUAUAGGCGAGGGAUGCGAGUUUGAAACAUUUGAAGAAACUCGGAUGGAUCCGUUUACUCCAUUGGUGUCCCUUGAGAAUAUCGAUUAUCUUCCCUUUGCCGUGAGCGCCUGCGGUAAUGUGUAUUUUGAACUUAGGCGAUCAGAUACAGGGGGUUACGGAUUUGAGUUAGGCGGCCCUGGCAUUCCAUUCUCCUCACUGGAUCGUGUCCCUAGCAGGGAAACUGGUCAGUUGGAUACACACCGAGGGCCUAUGAUGGACUGUCAGAACUUCCGGGAAUUCUGGUUAGACUGGGAUACCGGAAUGGUACGUCUUGGAACAGGUUCCGUGAGAGGACAGAAUGUCGUACUGAAUUCCCCAUCGGAACCGAUUCCCGGAAUUAGCCAGAUCAUUUUUAACUCCGGGAGUUGGAAACUGCCACUGCAAUAUAAAGCACCGUUAGAAACUAAUGCUCAGAUGAGCGAGUUCAACGGUGUGGACAUUCAAGGAAAUACUGGUAUGAUGCAGCAAGGGUCACCGAUGGUUAUUGGAGGAGUGAAUCAACCCGUUUCAGACGGCAUAAUAGAUCCACAAGGACUUUUAGAACACCGACUGUUAUCGGGCAAUAAGCAAAUCGACGAACAAGGAAAUAUUCAGUAUAAAUUAGACAAUUUUUCCGUUGACCCUUCUCCGAGUUCACCUCAAGGCGGCGGUGUUAUGUCCCCUUCAAAUAAAGACCCCACCGUUGUAAGUCUUGUCCAUCCGACACCAAAGAUAGAGCGACUAAGGCAGGUUCAGAAAAUACAAGUUACAUCGACGGAAGCACCAAUUCCCCAGUCAGGAAACAUACUAGAUAUUCCAAACAGCUGGGCUGACAACAGUCCAGGCGAUUCGUUGUCAAAUCUUGAACAGCGUGUGUUUUCGAAUGAACCUGUUAUUAGACAUCAAAAUGAAGAACAAGGAACUCCUAUUGAAAAUAGUCCAAUGAAGAGAGAACAGAUGGUUCCAAAUAAUAAUUUGGGUCAUGGACAAAGUAUUGCAAAUACUGAAAAUCCUUCAGAAACAGUGCCAGGCAGUUUUGUGCCACCAACAACACCUACAUCUCCUCCGAUUUCAGACAACUUCAUGCCAAGUCUUCGAAUGCUCCAAUCUGGAACAGAUUCGGCUUCGAACUCUCAGGGUAUAGCAAACAAAGGGCAAAACACAGCAUCUUUAACUGAUGCAGUGUUUAGUUCUCAAGAACCACAGAAGCCAAAUGCGGUUGAUUCUCCGUCAAGUUCAAUUUCCAGAUUUAAUUCAAAUAAUCAGCAGACAGGUUCACGAUUUGGUAGUGGACCAACUAUAACGAGUCAAAAAGGAUCAGUCGUUGGAGUAAAUGGUCAACCAAUCAAAUCGUCCGUCACGGAUGUAAAGUCAAACGGAAAUCAAGAUCAAGUCUCCAGAAAUUUGAUUGACGGACCUGAUGGCCAACUUCUCACUAAAGUAGAGAGAAUAGGUCCAGAUGGACAGACUAAGGUUUCAUUUGAGUCUCCAUCACAAAGUAAUUGGCCCGAAAAGCAAUCAAUUGGUUCUAAGGAUACAGUCAAAUUUGAUAAUUUAGGUCGACCAAUGCUGACUGUUGAAAGAAAAUCUCAACCUGUUGGGCCCGUGCAACAUUUGCUCGGACCAAACGGAGAAAAAAUAGAGAUAAGUCGUCAAAAACAUGUUAGCAGCGAUGGUUCUCAAUAUGAAGAGCAACAACAGCAGAAAAUAGUGAGUGCAGACGGUGCCCACGUUAGCAAGGCAUCAAAAUUAAAAACACUGACACCCGACACAGCUGGUGUCAAGGAUAUAACAAGACAAGAAAUAGCAGAGAGAAAUAGAUUGAGCAUAAAAGAAACAGAAAACCAAAAGAUCUUAAAACCAAAAAUGUUAGAAAUAAAGAAACGAAAUCGGGAGGAAACACAUAGACCAGAUGUGGCUCAUAUCAAGGAAGAGAAAGACCACAUGAGUGUGGAUGUCAGUGGUACAUCACAUUUUCAUAAGAGUCAACACCAAGAGUUAAUUGGCCCCAACAGAUCAGCUUUCAGCUCAAGUUUUAGCACUAAAACAGUGUUUGCUCCUCGUGUUUUUGAUCCAGCGGCAUUGAUGCGAAAUAAUGGCGAGACAACCACUGAAAGAGUCAUUACAAAUGAUAUGAACAGAAACAUGAAUCCCCCAAAUAACCCUUUUAAUAGAAUUAAUACUAUUCCCGAGGUUCCUCCUAUAGGACAACAAACAUUGUUUUCAGGCCCGCGAAAUGAACCCCCAAAUUCAUUAUUUCAAAAUUUCCAAAGGGUAGCUAAUUCAGGAAACAAUGAAAUAAGGUCACCCUCAAACGAACCUAAUAGGAACUGGAGACAACAGCAAUCGGAAUCGAAUCCUAACGAGCCUAAUAGAAAUUUUAGAUCACGACAAUCGGAAUCAAAUCGCAACGAGCCUAAUAGAAAUUGGAGACAACAAUCAGAAUCAAAUCCAAAUGAGCCUAACAGAGAUUGGAGACCCCAACAAUCAGAAGCAAAUCCAGGUGAUCAGUUUAGAAGUCCUCAGUCACCAAAUAAUUUUUGGAGAGAAUCAAGAGGGUUCAAUGGUCCAGACACAGGAAAUCGACGGGACUCAAGAAAUUUUAACGAAGGGCAAAGGGUAAAUCGAGGAGAUUUCAUAUCCCCAGGUCAAAUAAACCCCCAAUCUGACAGAGAUAUGAGACCAAAUAAUUUUGAUGGCCAAAAUGUUAUCAAUUCUGAUCAUAUAACUGAGAUUCAAAAUCCACCAAGUCAGCAAUGGUUUAUUCCAAAUCAGCAACAUAUCGUCGCGGGACCUCCGCAAGGCUUUAUUCAUCAAAGAAAUCCUGAUGGACCUCCGCAAGGUUUUAUACACCAGGGAAAUCCAAUCGAGACACAUCAAGUAAUAAAUGUUCCUACGUUUGGGUCACCCCCUUGGGGUUCUCAUUUGUCACCUCAUGAACUUCAUAAUGUAAUGCAGCCUCCUCCGUUUUUUAGGGCAGGGCGCUCUAAAAGACAAGCUGGUGUUCCACCUCCACCACCUUCGUUUGACAAUUUUGACUUUUCAAGAGCCCAAAGAACUCCUCAAACGAGUACAUCUAACAAUAUCUUAGGUUCAAAUAUUGGCAGAUCGCAUGAGAGCAUGAACAUGAUGCCUAUGACAGGCGAUAGGUCUUCCUCAAUAAGACGCCCUGAGUCUUUAUCAAAUGUAACACCACAGCCUCCGAUGGGUAUGUCAAUGCCUCUAAAUAAUAAUCAAGGAAUCAAUUCAAUGUCAUCUAAUAUAGCCCCUCCUCCUCCUCCUGGGGGUAUGACAUCUUCUGGAAGACAACUAUUUUCAAAUGAAAAUCAAGGAAGCAACAUCUUGCAAACUAACAUAGUCCCUCCUCCUCCUAUGGGCGGUGUGCCUUCAACGAACCAAAUGACUUCAGCAACAAGCAGACAAGAAAGUUCCGCAUUUCCGUCAGGAGGUUCCGUAAUGGAUCCAUCUUCGAAUACAUUAACGACUGUAAAUGGUGGACAAACUCAGAUUAGUGUGUCACCGGAAUCUCGUCAAACUGGUCAGUUUGUGCAAGGACAAACCAUGUUUGCUCCAAAUCAAAUGGGCAGUCAUACUCAUACUGGUACAACUAAUUUAAGACAAAGUCCAAUUGAGGAAGUGAAUUUAAGCAGUGGACGGUCCCUUGAGAUUGAGUGUGGGAUCAAGUCAGCCGACCCCAAUUUGGAAAUCAAAUGGACAAAGAAUGGAGUACCUUGGACUCCACCUCCAAACAAUCCCAAAAUUUACUUCACGAACAACAAGCGGAAAAUCGUUUUCGAAUCUGUUACCGAAGAGGACAAUGGGAAUUAUAUGUGUGUUGCUAACAAUCUUUUCAAAACAUCUUCAACUACUGACUUGUUUCUAGAUUCUCCAGAAUCUGCUAUGAUUGUCCAUGAACCGACAAGGCUAUCUCCAACAUUGGGCAAGAGACUUGAGAUCCUUUGUGAUAUCCACUCAACGGAUCCCAAUCUAAAGAUAUCAUGGAUGAAGGAUGGCCGACCCUUCAACCCGAUGGAAGGGGAAAGAAUUAGUUUCUAUUUCGACAAUAAGAUCAUUGUCUUUAAUGCUGUGGAGGAAGGGGACAAAGGAAAAUACACGUGUAGAGGCAGUGACGGAUAUGUCAACCCCACAUCUAUAAUUGUAAACGUCUUAAAGCCAGAAUCUAAUAAGUUUACCGACAUCUUUGGUCCACAAUCAAAUUCAGCAGCACAACAGGCAGGCCAGCUUAUAAACACCGGAGCCCUACAGAGCCUUCCUAUAGGAUCAGGAUAUUUUGAAAUCGUUUGUAACGCCAAUCCUAAUGACCUUACUUCGGCAAUCCGAUGGACUAAAAAUGGAAAACCUUUCAACUUAAAUCCCCAAAACCCAUAUGUUUACUUUACCAGGGAUAGAAGGAAGAUUAUAUUCGAGAAUUUAUCCCCAGCAGACAAUGGAAUUUAUACCUGUUACUUAAAUGAUACGGAUGUCUCAUCGGCAUCAACUGAUCUUUUCAUUGAAAACGCUAAUGACGCCAUGGUUUCCUUCAUGCCUGAGACCAAACACCCUAUGGUUGGCGGUAUCUUGGAACUACGUUGUGAUGUAACCUCUUCUGAUCCAAACGUUCAAUUAUCAUGGACCAAAAAUAGCGAACCUCUUCUUCCUGGAAGACGUGUUAUCAUGCAGAAUAAAAACUCACUUGUUACCGUAUAUAACGUUACUGCGCAGGACAGUGGGCAAUAUAAAUGUAUCGCUAAUGGUGACCUAUCAACGGCCGUGUCAACAUUUGUCAACGUACAUUCUAAAGAACCAGGAACUGUUGCUAGCGAAAUGGACAAUAAUAAAUUCGCUUCGUUAUUUGGUAAUACUGGAGGUGGUCAGUUCUUCCUUGGUGGCAAUCGAAUGUCAGGAAAUCAAAUGGUUCAAGGAUCCGUAUUGGGAGGAGGUCAAAUGGUUCAAGGUCAAAUGAUUGGAGGUCAAAUGGUCGACGGAUCCAUGAUGGCAGGAGGUCAAAUGGUUGGAGGCCAGAUGAGCGGUGGUCAAAUGGUUGGAGGUCAAAGGAUCGGAGGUCAAAUGGUCAACGGAUCCAUGAUGACAGGAGGUCAAAUGGUUGGAGGCCAGAUGAGCGGUGUUCAAAUGGUUGGAGGCCAGAUGAGCGGUGGUCAAAUGGUUGGAGGUCAAAUGAUCGGAGGUCAAAUGGUUGGAGGUCAAAUGAUCGGAGGUCAAAUGGUUGGAGGUCAAAUGGUCGGAAAUUCCGUAGCUGGCAUGAGAACAAUCAGCCAGGGUCCUAUGGAAGAGAAAGUUAUUAGCUCGGGAUACUUUGAGAUAAACUGCAACAUCCCUGGUACCAUAGAUGGAGAAAUAACUUGGUUAAAAGAUGGGAACGUUUAUCUGAUUCCAUCUAAUCGACCGGUAUACUUCAAAAACAACAAAAAGACAAUCGUGUUCCUAUCUGUGGCUCCUGAAGAUAAUGGGCUGUACACCUGCAUCGUAAACAACCAAUACCAGGCAUCGGCCUCAACAGAGCUUUUCAUUAAAAACAAAGAAUAUUACAAUGAAGAUUGGGCACAAAACGCCGUGGUUGUUCAUGAACCCCAAACCUUGAACCCCGUCAGAGGAACACGCCUGGAGUUGACUUGUGACAUCACAACCACAAAUCCAAACAUUCGCUUAACCUGGCUCAAAAAUGGCGUCCCUGUGCAGCCAACAGCUGACCGCAGAAUUCAGUUCCAAAACUACAACCAGCUAUUACUAUUUGACCCGGUGGUACCGGGGGAUGAGGGAAAAUAUACAUGUCAGGCUAAUGACCCAAUGAGGACCUCGGUGUCCACAUUUGUAAAAGUACAUGAACGUGAGGAAAGCAGAACUAUGUAUGCUACGAUGUCACUUUCCUCGGGAUCAACCAUCCAGCAAAGCAAUCCAAUGCAAGAAAUCAACAUCAAAUCGGGCUACUUUGAAAUCAAUUGUCUGAUUGACAGUGGAAACGCUGAAAUAUUUUGGGCCAAAAAUGGUCAGCCGUUCAACCCUCCUGCCGGUAGGGCUAUCUACUUCGCAGACAACAAGAAGAAGAUUGUGUUUGAGAGCGUUAAAGAAGAGGAUUCGGGUCUCUACACUUGCGUUGCCAAAAACGAAUACUUAACCUCAGUUUCAACAGACCUCUUCAUUGAAGGCAAUUCAAAUACGGCUAUCGUCGUCUACGUUCCCCAGCGACUAAACCCAAUCAUCGGAAGUAGACUGGAGAUCACGUGCAGCGUUCAUGACCACGACAGCGCCACCAAUCCAAAUAUGCAAGUCACGUGGUUUAAGGAAAAUGUACCGAUCGCAGCAGAAAAUAACCCAAAUAUAAUCUUUCAGCAGAACGGUCGUAAGAUGAUCUUACGUUCCGUCAGUGCAUCAGAUCAAGGAAAUUACAUGUGUGCAGUGAAUGAUCCUAAUGUCACCCCUGUCGUGAUGUACAUACAACCACACGCCAACGCGGCAACAAGACAACGACAUUUUGGACGGUUCCUCGGACAGGCAGCAGCAGUCGCCUCCUCAAGAAUCCCAAUCGAAGCUGGGAACCUAAGAAUUCAGUGUGAUGUCGCGGAUGAUUCGACGUCCAGCAUUGCUUGGUUCAAAGACAACAGACCUCUGGAUGAUACCCUACCAAACGUCGCGUUUGAAGACGACUUCCGCCGUUUGGUCUUGCUAGCUUUUGGACCUUCAGAUCGCGGAGUCUAUAUGUGUCUGACUGGGGGGCAAAAUUGGCAUUCGGCAGCACAAGAACUUAUUUAUAUAAAUUCAGAUGAAGCUGGAGUAACAACAAAGCCUAUGAAGAUAUAUCCAAUUUUCAACUCGGCUGUGGAAAUAAAGUGUCGUAUUCCCGGGCUUCAACCCACUGAUGCAGUCAGCUGGGAAUACGAGGGUAUUCCACUGGUGGCUGAACCAGAACAAGUGGUUCUAAUGGACAACGACCAAACUUUGUGGAUUAAAUCUUUCCAACCGUCCGACGUAGGAAGAUAUACCUGCAAAGCCAAUGGAUACCAAUGGUCGAUGUAUCUAAAUGGCUACUCCACUCCUUUGGAAAGAAGCGCAGCACUUGGCAACCCUAUGUUCAUGGAAUCUUUAUACUGGAUGUAUGGUCCACGCCGCCAAAUAAGCUUUGGUACACCUAUGCCAUAUCCGAUAAUUGGAGGAAGAGUUGAGAUCAUGUGCGGCCUUCAAAUUAGUAACCCCAACACAAUCAUUCGAUGGCUGAAAGAUGGUCGGCCGCUUCAGAGAAUGAAACCAACAUACUACAUGUACAACGGACGAAGCUUAGUCCUUUUUGGAUUUUCUGCAGCUGAUAAUGGUAGAUACACUUGUGUUGCCAAUGAUGGAUCCAUGUCGUCCGCUUCAACAAGUCUAUCGUAUAGAACUCCAGAAUCUGCAAUGGCGACUUAUGAACCUCCAAAUGUGAAUCCAUUGAUGGGUAGAAGGGCUGAGAUUGUAUGUAACAUACAAAACCUUCCUGCCGAUGUUACCGUCCAAUGGCUGAAAGAUGGAAUACCAUUCAACAUCCAAAGUGCCAGAGUUCGGUUCCUCAACAACAAUCGUAAAAUUGAAUUCAGUCCCGUUUAUGCCAGUGAUGCUGGGAGCUACGAAUGUGUUGCAGACACAGAGCAAAGGGAAGCUUAUACUACAAGCGUAAAGGUCUUUAGAGAUGAUAACGGCCGAGUAACUGAUGUGUACGGAGAUCCAACAUUCCUGCUUUCUCAAAUUGAUGACAGAUCUUUUCCAAACCUAGAAAUUGGUUCUCCUAUGGAUCUGCCUACACGAGAUGGAGUUGUAGAAUUGUAUUGUGGAGUCAAGAAUCCUAAUCCUAAUGCUGUUUUCACGUGGAUGAAGGAUGGAAGACCAAUUACAAGAAAUCCUGUUUACUACAAAAAUGACGGUCGUGUUUUGGUAAUUCCUGAUUUCGAACCUGCUGACAAUGGAAGAUACACCUGUAUUACGAAUGACAAUAUUCUAUCGUCUUCGUCUACCUUACUCAAUUAUGUUUCACCAGCCCUAGCCAGCGCUACUUACCAACCUCCAAGGCUUAAUCCUAUUACUGGAAGAAAAGUGGUCGUGAAGUGUAGCAUUCCGAACCUUCCACCGGGGGUUAGCGUCAGCUGGAUAAAAAAUGGACAACCCUUUCAGCCUCCUGCUGGGAGAGCUCGAUUAGUCGACAACAACCGCCGGAUCGAGUUCAGUUACGUUUAUCCAGAAGACGCCGGAAGUUACACGUGUAUGGCUACGGAUGGAUCUACAUUGUCACACUCAACGGGAGUAAAUGUUUAUAAAAAUGAUAAGGAUCGUACUAAUACCGUAUACGGACCAGCAAUGACAAUUACACCAGUUACAAUUCCAGAGCCGGGAACGGGCCCAUAUCCAGGACAACCAAUAGCUCCGUCGGAUGGCUCGGUACCCCAAGGCCAAUUGCCGGGACAACCAAUAGCACCAGGUUUGUGUAAUGAAAAAGGGAUUGUUGUAUUAGUGAACACAUACAACCGCUUCCUUAGAAAGAUUUUUAAUCAGUGUGAUUUUUUAUUUAGGACCUUACAUACCUGAAGACAAUAUUCCGACAGGACAAGUGCCUGAACAACCAAUACCUCCAGGACCUUACGUGGCCGAAGACAAUCUGCCAACAGGUCAACUUCCAGAAGCACCGAUAAUUCCCCCAGACUUCCCCAGACCCCUAGGAACAUAUGUACCUCAAGAAAAUGUUCCGACAGGCAUUCUACCGGAAAGAACACUACCUUCUCCUGAUGCUUCUAUACCCCAAGGACAGCCGUUGUCAUAUCCAAUAGACGGCGGUGUUAUGUAUCUACGCUGUGGAAUUCAAACGAAUGACCCGAACAUUCUCAUUCGCUGGUUGAAAGAUGGUCGACCCAUUCGUAGAAUGAAUCCAACAUAUUAUAUGUACAACGGUAGAAUUCUGGUCCUGAUGGGAGUAAAUGCCUCGGAUAAUGGAAGAUACACUUGUGUGGCCAAUGAUCGAACUAUGUCAUCUUCCUCUACAAACCUUCAGUAUGAGAACCCUGGUUCUGCGACGGCUACAUACAAUCCUCCUAAAUUGAAUCCUGUCACUGGAGAUAAAGCAGAAAUAUAUUGCAACAUACCUAACCUAGAUCCAGGCUACCAAAUCACGUGGUUAAAAGAUGGCCAACGCUUUGAGCCUCAGUCUCAAAGGGUUCAAUUGGUCGCUAAUUCAAGGAAACUUGAGUUUAGUUCUGUUUACCCAGAGGAUGCUGGAACUUACACAUGUACAGCAAAUGACGAAAUGGGCACGUCGUAUACGACGGAUGUUAACGUGUACCCAGAUGGUACAUUAAGAGAAUCCGACGUUUACGGUUCACCUACUUUCCUUUUAUCUCAAAAUGAUAAACCUAAAGAGGAUUUAACUAUAGGUUCUCGAUUGGAAUUACCUUUGGAUUCUGGAACGGCCGAGAUGCUGUGUGGAAUACAAACAAACAACCCCAAUGCUAUUUUCACCUGGCUUAAAGAUGGGCAACCAAUAACAAGAACUCCUGUGUUUUACAAGGAUGACGGUCGUGUCUUGGUUCUUCCGAAUUUCACACCAGCUGAUAAUGGAAAAUACACUUGUGUUACGAAUGAUAAAUCCAUGUCCUCCUCCUCAACGGAUAUCCAAUACGUUGAUCCGGGUACGGCAGUAGCGGUUUAUGAGCCACCGGAAAUGAAUCCAUUGACUGAUGACAAAACAGAGUUGUUUUGUGACAUUUCUAAUCUACAACCAUUCGAUAACGUUCGCUGGUUUAAAGAUGGCAAUCCGUUCGAGGUUCAAAAUCAGAGAAUCCAAAUUGUGGAUAGAAACAGGAAAAUUGAAUUUAGUUCUGUAUUUCCCGAGGAUGCUGGAACGUAUACGUGUCAAUCUGAUGAAGGAAAAUCAUACUCCGUCCAACUUAACCCUUUCCCGACGGAUUCAGAAAGAAAAGUUACAGUGUAUGGACCAGACAAGGUGAACGAAAUUCCAGAACCUCUGCCUGAUGAAUUCCUCACUCCAACAGCUCCUGCCGAUAGACCUCCCACUGCUCCAGAUACCGGACUAAAUCCAGAUGGAUCCCCUAGACAACCAAGUGUAUAUCCAGACGGUACACCAAGACAGCCUGGUUUAUACCCUGAUGGUUCACCACGACAACCAGACCUUUAUCCUGAUGGUACACCAAGACUUCCAGAUGUAAACCCUGAUGGUACACCAAGACAACCGGACAUGAACCCUGAUGGUACACCAAGACUUCCAGAUGUUAAUCCUGAUGGUACACCACGACUUCCAGAUGUAAACCCUGAUGGUACACCAAGACAACCGGACAUGAACCCUGAUGGUACACCAAGACUUCCAGAUGUAAACCCUGAUGGUACACCACGACAACCGGACAUGAUCCCAGAUGGUAUACCAAGACUUCCAGAAGUAAACCCUGAUGGUACACCACGACAACCGGACAUGUACCCUGAUGGUACACCAAGACUUCCAGAUGUUAACCCUGAUGGUAUACCACGACAACCGGACAAGUACCCUGAUGGUACACCAAGACUUCCAGAUGUUAACCCUGAUGGUACACCACGACAACCAGACCUGUACCCUGAUGGUACACCAAGACUUCCAGAAGUUAACCCUGAUGGUACACCACGACAACCGGACAUGUACCCUGAUGGUAUGCCAAGACUUCCAGAUGUUAACCCUGAUGGUACACAAAGACAGCCAGACUUGUACCCUGAUGGUACACCAAGACUUCCAGAAGUUAACCCUGAUGGUACACCACGACAACCGGACAUGUACCCUGAUGGUAUGCCAAGACUUCCAGAUGUUAACCCUGAUGGUACACCAAGACAACCAGACUUGUACCCUGAUGGUACACCAAGACUUCCAGAUGUUAACCCUGAUGGAACACCACGACAACCGGACUUGUACCCUGAUGGUACACCAAGACUUCCAGAAGUUAACCCUGAUGGUACACCACGACAACCGGACAUGUACCCUGAUGGUAUGCCAAGACUUCCAGAUGUUAACCCUGAUGGUACACCAAGACAACCAGACUUGUACCCUGAUGGUACACCAAGACUUCCAGAUGUUAACCCUGAUGGAACACCACGACAACCGGACUUGUACCCUAAUGGUACGCCAAGACUUCCAGAUGUUAACCUUGAUGGAACACCACGACAACCGGACAUGUACCCUGAUGGUAUGCCAAGACUUCCAGAUGUUAACCCUGAUGGUACACCAAGACUUCCAGAUGUUAACCCUGAUGGAACACCACGACAACCGGACUUCUAUCCUGAUGGUACGCCAAGACUUCCAGAUGGUACACCACGACAACCGGACUUGUAUCCUGAUGGUACACCAAGACGUCCAGAUGUAAACCCUGAUGGUACACCACGGCAACCGGACUUGUAUCCUGAUGGUACACCAAGACGUCCAGAUUUUAACCCUGAUGGUACACCGUUACAACCGGACUUGUAUCCUGAUGGUACACCAAGACUUCCAGAUGUUAACCCUGAUGGUACACCGCGACAACCGGACUUGUUCCCUGAUGGUACACCUAGACUUCCAGAUGGUACACCACGACAACCGGACAUGUACCCUGAUGGUACACCAAGACGUCCAGAUGUAAACCCUGAUGGUACACCGCGACAACCGGACUUGUACCCUGAUGGGACACCACGACAACCGAACUUGUACCCUGAUGGGACACCACGGCAACCGGACUUGUACCCUGAUGGGACACCAAGACUUCCAGAUGGUACACCUCGACAACCGGACUUGUACCCUGAUGGAACACCAAGACUUCCGGAUGGUACACCACGACAACCGGACUUGUACCCUGAUGGUACACCAAGACUUUUAGAUGUUGACCCUGAUGGUACACCCAGACUUCCAGAUGUAAACCCUGAUGGUACACCACGACUACCCAGUGUAAAUCCUGAUGGUACACAAAGACUUCCAAUUGUAAACCCUGAUGGUACUCCCAGACUUCCCACUGUAAAUCUUGAUGGUACACCACGACUACCUAGUGUAAAUCCUGAUGGUACACCUAGAAUACCAGGUGUAUUACCCGAUGGUUCACCACGACAGCCAGGCUUUCCUCCCUAUACAUUUCCUCGUUCCUCACCGUCUGGUCUCCCUCUUCCUCUUCCUCCUCCUGUUCCACAAUCCAUGGGUGGUAAGAAGCCACAAGCGAUAGACCCUUUCCCAUCUCCAAGAAUAGAUAUGCUGUCUCCAGAACGUUCACCAGUUACUGUAACAGCCAAGGAGGGUGAGCCAUACGUACUCGAAUGUGAUACUCCUUGGCGGCCAAACGACCAAAUAUCAUGGUAUAAAAAUGAAGUCCCACUGCAGUUAAACCGACCCGGAGCACCAGCCCAGAUGGAAAACAACCUAGUUUUCCAAACGAUUAGGCCUACUGAUAGAGGAAAAUACACAUGCACAGUGAAUAACAAUCUCCAAACGGCCACAACAAUCCUUCUUGACACAGUUCCGGCGGAUCCAAGUGUGAUAGGAAACCAGGAUCCAGAACAACUAGAAACCAGAGAAGGCAAUGCUUAUACACUUACAUGUAAACUCCCUAAUAUCAGGGCAGAGGAUACGAUAUCAUGGUACAAAAAUGGCGAUCCAGUACGGAGUUCAGACAAUAAGAUUGUUAGAGGUGCUAUAGAGUUCAAGCCUGUCAGAUUGGCAGACCGAGGCUCCUAUUAUUGUGUGAAAAAUAACGAUCUAGGUUCAACGUAUGCUGCUGACCUUAACGUUUUGCCAAGAGACCUGAUGGAAGAAGAGCCGAAGGCAUUUGUGUUUACACCCGUUAGACCAUCAGUUCCGUUAACUCCUGGUACUGGCCAACCAAUUGGAACUCCAGUCGUGCCAACGCCUGUAGAUGACUUUGAUUCCUUUAGAAUGCCACCUCCGCCACCUCCUAUUGAUGGCGGUUUGGGCCCUCUACCCAGACCAGGACCUGGCCCGAUACCGCAAGUUCAAAGACCUGCAGUUCCCACGUCACCGAUUACACAAGUGGAUCCCCGAGAUGUUGAAAUUUCACCAGGGCACUUCCGACCUGUAGAAAGAACCAGAUUCAUUCUGGAGUGUGCCAUUUCAAGAACAACGGGAAAAGUUAUAUGGAUGAAAGAUGGCAAAUCUCUCAGCAGCGAGCAGCCUCGAGAUAUGAAUGGGAAUUUGAUCUUUGGAACCGUUCGUAUGUCGGACGGUGGGCAAUACACUUGUAUUUCGGAUGAUCGCAGCCAAACCUACAAUGCUGCUGUUGAUGUUCUGCCUGAUGAUAUCAAUACUUUCCUUCUGAGUGAAAAGAACAAGAAACCAGAAUUGAGAGUCCCAAUGCUAAACUACCACAGACCAAUGACAGAAACUCCAUUCCAGCUUGAGUGUGACAUUCCUGGUGCAGAUUACCAAUAUCCAAUUGUGUGGUUCAAGGACGGUCAACGAAUCAAUUUGUCCAAUCCGAGCCCAAGAGCUCCCCAACCUCGUGAUAAUGGCCGGGCGCUGGUAUUUAGGUCCAUGCUUUUGUCCCACUCAGGGGUGUAUUCUUGUCAAGUUGGACCUGAAGAGAGAACAGAUAUUGUAGAUGUGAGACCUGAGAGCGUUCAAGAGUAUCUUCUGCUGAGUGGAAAGGACGACGAUACUCCAAAUGCCCUUCUCCCAGAAGGAGAGCAACUACCGUCUUUGACGCUACCAAACUCUGAAAAUUCUCCAAAGAUUAAAAUGGCUGAACGAGGAACUAUGGCUGUUAUCAAAUGUGAAACAGGGUAUAACCUAGAUCCUAAUGCACCCAUAUUCUGGUUCAAAAACAAAGACCUCAUUGCGCCGUCGCAAAGAAUACAACUUAGGAACGAUGAAUUGUUGUUGAGCAACGUCAUGCCGUCCGAUGCUGCGUUGUAUACCUGUGUUGUAGGAGACGGUGAAGCAACUUCAUCAACCAGAUUGUUUGUCACCGAACCAUCAGACACAAGUGGACCAAUGGUACCAGAAGAUCCUAGAAUACCCCAGGGACCUGGUAUUCCACCUAUUGUUGAUACCCGGCCAGUAGAUCCCAGUAGUGUUGAAAUUUCACCAGGACACUUCCGACCCGUGGAAAGAACCAGAUUCAAUCUAGAGUGCGCCAUUUCAAGAACAACGGGAAAAGUUAUAUGGAUGAAAGAUGGUAGAUCUCUUGGUAAUGAAUUGCCCCAAGACAUGAAUGGAAACUUGAUCUUUGGAUCCGUUCGUAUGUCGGACGGUGGGCAAUACACUUGUAUUUCGGAUGAUCGCAGCCAAACCUACAAUGCUGCUGUUGAUGUUCUGCCUGAUGAUAUCAAUACUUUCCUUCUGAGUGAAAAGAACAAGAAACCAGAAUUGAGAGUUCCAAUGCUGAACUACCACAGACCAAUGACAGAAACCCCCUUCCAGCUUGAGUGUGACAUUCCUGGUGCAGAUUACCAAUAUCCAAUUGAGUGGUUCAAGGAUGGUCAACGAAUCAAUUUGUCCAAUCCGAGCCCAAGAGCUCCCCAGCCUCGUGAUAAUGGCCGGGUGCUGGUAUUUAGGUCAAUGCUUCUGCCCCACUCUGGUGUGUAUUCUUGUCGAGUUGGACCUGAAGAGAGAACAGAUAUUGUAGACGUGAGACCUCAGAGCGUUCAAGAAUAUCUCCUGCUGAGUGGAAAGGACGACAAUACUCCAAAUGCCCUCCUACCAGAAGGAGAGCAACUACCGUCUUUGACGCUACCAAACUCUGAAAAUUCUCCGAAGAUUAAAAUGGCUGAACGAGGAACUAUGGCUGUCAUAAAGUGUGAUUCAGGGUUCAAUACGAACGCAAAUGCACCAGUAUUUUGGUUCAAAAACACAGAACUUAUUGCAAUGUCGCCAAGAGUACAAAUUAGAAACGAUGAAUUGCUAAUCGAGGACGUUUUGCCGUCCGAUGCUGCGUUGUAUACCUGUGUUUUAGGAGACGGUGAAGCAACUUCAUCGACUAGGUUAUUUGUCACAGAACCAUCAGACCAGACAGGACCAAUGAUACCCGAGGUCCCGCGAAGACCACCAUCCAUAGAUCCACGUAUUCCACCAACUCCCGGUUCUCUUCCUCUUCCAGGCAGCAGGCUUCCUCCUUUACCCCCUCCCUACCUUGGCGACCGUGAUAGGGGAUUUCCUGAUCAAGGUCCAGCAGGCCCGGAACCUAUUUCCCCUAAUGAUCCACAGAUCUCUCCGGGUCAUUUCCGACCCAUAGAGACAACAAGUUUUCUUCUGGAAUGUAAGGUUCCCAGAAAUGGAGGAAUGGUCUACUGGUUAAAGGAUGGCAAGGUCAUCCCCAACCCACCAGUGACUAGAAACAUGGAUCUGGUAAUGUCCCCAGUUCAACGGCGGGACAGCGGGGUAUAUACAUGUGUUUCAGAAGAUCGCAGAACAGUCUAUGAAGCUGCAGUUGAUGUGAUUCCAACUAAUGUAUAUGAGUUUGUGCAGAGUGAAAGAAACAAGAACCCAGAAGAUAGACGAGCGAACAUUGACUAUUAUAGACCCAAGUCGAAUUCUGUGUUUAAUCUUAAUUGCGACAUACCAGGAGCAGAUUUAAGACAACCAGUGAUAUGGACCAAAGAUGGUGGUCCAUUGGAUGCUUCAAAACCCGACCUUCUUAUUGUCAGAAACAGUGGCCGUACGCUUGGGUUUCCCUCGAUUUUGCGUAACCAGGCAGGGGUUUAUUCUUGCCGAAUUGGAAAUAAUGAAAGAGUAUCUAUUGUUGAUGUACGGCCUGAAAAGGUUCAAGAAUACUUGCUGUUAAGUGAGACUGACGACGAGUCACCUACAAUUCUUUUGCCAAAUCGUGGACAGACACCAGUUCUGAGAUUACCCGAGGAAGACAGUUCAAAGUUAAUGGUUGCCCCAGCCGGUUCGGACGUUCUAAUCAAAUGUGACGUGGCAUUAAACGCGGAUCCCAAUAUUCCUGUUUACUGGUAUAAGAAUGGACAGCUAAUAUCUGAACCACAGACAAGACAAAUCCCACAUUUGAACUACUUGUCUGUUACAAAUACUGAUGACGGUUUAUACACUUGCGUUUUGGGAAAUGGGGAUGCCACAUCAUCGACUCGUCUGUAUGUUACAGACUCCUUACCUGAUGUUCCGAUACCAUCUGGUCCCAGAGAUCAAACAUCUCCGAGAGAUGGUCCAUUUGCUGCAAGAGAUGUGAGACCACAAAUAGACCCAACUGAUAGACUACCUCAAAUUGACCCACCAGAGAGGUUGCCUCCGGUUGGCCCAAGAGAUCGUUUGCCACCGAUUGAUGAGCCAUUUGGCCCAACAGAUAUUGCACCUGAAAUUGAUCCUAGAGACAGUCUACAACCGAUUAAUCCUACGGACCGUUUACCAAUUGAUCCUAGAGAACGUUUACCACAAAUUGAUCCAAGAAUCAGCCUACCACAGGUUGACCCUGAGGGCAGUUUACGUCCAUUUGAUUCUAGAGACAAUUUACCACCUGUUGAGCCUAGGGAAGGUUUUCCUCAGAUUGGUCCUGGCGACCGUUUGCCACCUGUUGAUCCUAGAGGGCGUCUUCCUAAUCCGGGUGACAGACCUGUGUCGCCAUCUGGUGUUAUGCCACCUAUCCCACUUCCUCCAAUACCGAGAGAUCCAUUUGAUCGGAACCAAGAGACUCCUAUAUCGCCCUAUCCUAAAGGCAGUGAACCGGGAUUUACGGAUACUCAAGAAGGUAGAUAUCCUCUUCCAAAUUUGGAAAUACCCGGACAAAUUAACGACCCGUUGUUAACCGAAGGUCCUGACACGCCUUCAGAACCAGAUGCACGAACAGUUCUUAGUCAAGUGAAUCCAGAGGACAGGAUUGACCCGUUGUCUCGCAGACCACCUGUACUUCCGGAUACUAGGAACAUUCCCCCUGUGCCUACCGAUCGUACGGGUCCGAUUGACCCCCGUGGUACCUUGCCCACUGGGUUCCCCACUGGACCAGGCACUGGUGGGCGUUUCGUUGUGCCCUCCCUUGGUGGUAUUAUCGAACAGUUCUUUUAUCCUCGAAUUUCCCAGGACUUCACACUUCCGUGUAACAUUAAAGGCAUCACCGCUAACACCCCAAUUGUCUGGUACAAAGGUGACCAAAGGUUCAUUCCGGACUCUAGGCGCGUGCGCAUUGUUAACAAUGCAAUCGUGUUCCGGCCAGCUAUUGCUGAGGACAGUGGUAGUUAUUCCUGUAUGAGACCUGACACGUUAGAAUCCAUCAGGGCACAGUUAUAUGUUAAUGGAGAUGCUUUGCCACCAGGAGUCCGAGAUGACAGAUUUUCUCAAGUAACACCAACAGAAAGAACAGGAAGUCUUGUUCAGCAUUUCUAUUACCCUUCCUCGUCUGAACUAUUCGAACUUCGAUGCGACCUCAAAUCUGGCGAUAACAGAGUUCCAAUCAGAUGGCUCAAGAAUGGUCAACCGUUCAUUGUACCCGUCGACAGACCCGUAUCAUUGCAUGAAAACAACCAUGUCAUUCGAUUUAGUUCCAUUUCACCAAGGGAUAAUGGUCGCUACACAUGUAUCGCUGGGGAUAACUUGGCGUCGGUUUCGUCUGAGAUCGUUGUCAAGAGACCAGACAUUGGAAACACACCUUGGGAAAAAAGGAUAUCUUUGAGCAGUAAUGACCGAGACGCCCUUCUCCGGUUUACUGGCACUCAAGGGUUCUCCAACAAGUAUUUCCCAAUCGUCAAGAAACCCUUCAUUCUCAACUGCACUGCGGCAGAAGAUACUCCAAUGUUACCAGUGAGAUGGUUGCGAAAUGGUCAGCCAUUCCUACCUGAUGGUCAAAGAGUGUUCCCACGAUCAAGUUCACUGGUGUUCUCUUCAAUUCUGCCUGAUGACAGUGGACAUUACACCUGCAUUGUGGGUGACAAUCAAAAGGCAGAAAACGUCAUAGUCGACGUCAUCUUCCACGAUAUGAGUGCGGAAGAAAACACACCAGCUCGUCCAAUCUUGCGAAGACGAUAUCUUCUAACCUGUGGAAUUACUUCUUUACGUCCAAACACACAAAUCACAUGGUUUAAAGAUGGCCAACCUUUCAAUGCCAACAAUGACCGUGUGAGAUUUAUAGACAACAAGCGUGGAGUUCUGUUCACAUCAUUAUUAGAGCAAGACAACGGAGAAUAUAUGUGUAUAGCAAACUAUGGAUCAAGUCGAGCUUCCUACACAACUACUGUGAAUGCUGCUGAGGAAAAACUCCAUGAAAUAAUUACGGUACCCUUAGCUCCAACUGAACAUCGAGCUCCAAUAGCAGAAAGAUUUACCUUGGAAUGCGUCCUGUCGUCCGUGAGUGAAACGUUCCCUCCAAUUUGGAUGAAAGAUGGAAGACCAUUUGAUAGAAGAUCUGCCCCUCCAAAUGUUUCAUUCAGGGAUAGAUCAAUUGUGUUUGACCCUCUUACACCGUCUGAUGAAGGUCGCUAUACAUGUGCUUCCCAAGAUGGAAGUGAUCAGUAUACAUCUGAGCUCAUUCCUGUUCCUAGAGUCUUCAAUCCAACUGAAGGUCGGCCACUGAGUGUCCGGUGUCUGCUGCCCGGACGAGGCCCUGUCACCUGGACCAAGAACGGUCAGCCAUUCCCGAAUGUAAACUCUCGAACCACCACUUUCUCUGAUAAUGGACGAACAAUCACGUUUACUCCAGUUUUCACCAAGAAAUGAUGGAGAAUAUCAGUGUAUUUCCGCUAAUGGUCAAAGAUACCCACUGAUGAUUAAAGUAAUCCCAACCAUGUUGUUCCCUCAGAGCAAGAGUAUUUUUGUUUUACAGUGUGCUCUUCGCGAUAUGAAUUCCCGGAAAAUGAUAGUUUGGCUUAAAGAUGGACAGGUAUUUCGGCCAAGGCAAGACAGGGUAUCAUUUAAUGUCGGCGAUGGGGUCCGAGAGGUUAUUUUUGAUCCACUGUUGCCAGAAGACAGUGGUCGUUAUGCUUGUGUUGACCCUGACAAAAAUCAAUAUAUGGUAAAUGUCAUUGUGGAUGGCCGCACGGCUGCCCGACGUAAUCUACAACCAACUGUCACACAAGCGUUCAGGAUUUCAUGUGACAUUCCAGGAAUUAGUCCAUCCACAACUGUUUUCUGGUUGAAGGGGCAGGAACUCUACACUCCACCGAGAGAGAGUAUCAAAUUUGAAGAUGGAAAUAAAGAUAUUUUGUUUGAAUCAGUGAUGCCAGAAGAUUAUGGCUCUUAUACAUGUGUAACCGCGGAUGGCAGUGAACACUACACAAUUAAUCUUGAUGUCCAAAGUGGUCCUGGGCACAAACACGUGAAAGUUGGAGUCACUGAAAGAGAAGUGUCAAAACCACCAGCAAAGUCCACUUUCAUCAUGAAGUGUGACAUUCCGGGUCUCGAGCCUGGUGAACAGGUAGUGUGGUUGAAAGACCAGCAAGUCUUCAAUCCCAUGGGUGACCGUGUUAGGCUUGGCCGCUUGGCCGUAUUGCCACUUUCCUACCAGUUGAACCUGAAGAUAGUGGCCUUUACACGUGUGUCUCAGAAUUGUCUGGUACCACAUUAUCACAGAUUGUUGAGGUCGGACCACCUUUAUAUCCAGGUGACUAUACGAUGGAGGUAUCUCCAGACUUCUACCGUCCAGUUGAGACAAAACCUUUUAGUCUUUAUUGUAAUAUUCCAACUACAAUGGACGAGUUUUCUGGUUGAAGAACGGAAGAAUUCUUAGAGUACCACCAGCUUCAUCCAUUUCAUUGCACGAUAACGAUAGGAGAAUUGACUUCGAUGCAGUCAUGCCUGGAGACAGUGGUUUCUAUAUGUGUGUAACGGAUGACUUCAGUACAUUUUAUCCAGCAGCAGUGGAUGUUUUACCAUUCCCCAUAUAUC
rnacentral:sRNA from 1 species